CCUGGCGCGCGGCUGGUGCAAGAACUACCAAAGGAGCGGGGGUGUGUCGGGGGGGUGGGGGAGAGAGCAGGCCCGCCCCUCCACCUCCCCCGGUCCCCGCGGCACCCUCUGAGCUCCGGCGGGGCGCCGGAAGCUGCCCGGCUGCCCCCUUCCCGAGGCGCCCGCCGCCUUAUCUCGCGCUUGGGCCCGCUGGGGGACUGUGUGCGCGCCGGGAGGGAGAGGCAGCGCGAGGGCGGCGGCGGCAUGGGCCCGGGCGCCCCAGGAGGGGGCCGCCCGCCUCGCCGUCUGCUGCUGCUCCUGCUGUGGCUCGGCCUGGCUUUUGGCGCCGACGGAGCGCCGGGCGCAGACGGGUUAGAUAUCUGUGCCACUUGCCAUGAACAUGCAACCUGUAAGCAAGAAGGAGGGAAGAAGAUGUGUAUUUGCAACUAUGGAUUUGUUGGCAAUGGGAGGACCCAGUGUAUUGAUAAAAAUGAAUGCCAGCUUGGAGCCACUGUGGUCUGUGGGAACCACACAUCUUGCCACAACACACUUGGAGGCUUUUAUUGUAUUUGCCUGGAAGGAUAUCAAGCCACAAACAACAAUAAGACAUUCAUUCCCAAUGAUGGCACCUUCUGUACAGGUAUCCUGAAGGGACUGCAGGACAUAGAUGAGUGUGAGAUUCCUGGCCUUUGUGGGCAUGGAGGACAGUGUGUGAACAUACAAGGAGGCUUUGAAUGCUACUGUCUGGAUGGAUUUGUGCCACACAAUGGACCUGAGCCUUUCCACCCAGCCAGUGAUGCCACAUCAUGCAAUGAAAUAGACUGUGGCACCCCUCCUCAGGUCCCAGCUGGUUAUAUCAUAGGAAAUUAUACCUCUAGACUUGGUAGCCAAGUUCAUUAUGCUUGCAGAGAAGGAUUUGUCAGUGUCCCAGAAGUUAUGGUUUCAAGCUGCACAGCCUUGGGCACAUGGGAGUCUCCAAAAUUAAAUUGCCAAGAAAUCAACUGUGGCCAACCUCCAGAAGUGCAAGAUGCAUUCCUGGUGGGGAAUUAUAGCUCCAGACUGGGCAGUGUGGCUCACUAUGUCUGUCAAGAAGGCUUUGAGAGUCGUGGAGGAAAGAUCACUUCUGUUUGCACAGAGAAUGGCUUCUGGGAAAAAAAUACACUGACAUGCACAGAAACAAUUACAGAAAUUAAAAAUGUAUCAGUGUUUAAUAAUACUUGCAUGAGAUGGCAAAUACACCCUGGAAGAAUAAAGUUCAAAAUCAUAUAUAUGAUACACAUAAAAGGACAACGAUUGGACCCUGCAGAAUCAGUUCCCAAGGAGACAAUCUACUUGACCACAGAGAGCAGAACCCCAGAAGUGUGCCUAGAUCUGUACCCAAGCACCAACUACACCGUGAACAUUUCCACUGUUUCUCCCAGACGUUCCAUGCCAGCCAUCAUUACAUUCCAAACAGCUGUAAGACAGAUCAUCAGUAACAUUUCAAUAUUUAAUGAAACCUGCUUGAGAUGGAGAAGUAUGAAGACAGCUGAUACAGAAGAGGUGUAUUUAUUUCACAUUUGGGGCCAGAGAUGGUAUCAGCAAGAAUUUGCCCAGGAAAUUAUCUUUAAUAUCACUGCCAGCAGCCAGACUCCUGAGAUGUGCUUGGACCUGCAUCCAGGGACCAACUACAGUAUCAGCAUCCAGGCUUUGUCUUCUGAACUUCCUGUGGUCAUCUCCCUUACAACCCACAUAGCAGAGCCUCUUCUUCCAGAAGUAGAUUUUUUCACAGGGCAAGGAUGGACUCUACCACACUUGAGACUGAGGAAAGCCAAGGAGGAAAAUGGACCUAUCAGCUCUUAUCAAGUAUUAGUGCUUCCCAUGACCCUACAAAGCACAUUUUCUUGUGAUUCUGAAGGGGCUGCUUCAUUUUUUAGCAACACUUCUGAUACUGAAGGAUAUAUAGCUGCAGAACUACUGAACAAAGAUGUUGCAGAUGAUGCCAUGGAGAUUUCCAUUGGAGAUAGGCUGUACUAUGGGAAAUACUAUAAUGCACCCUUGAAGAUAGACAAUGAUUACAAUAUUAUAUUACGGAUCACAAGUGAAUGGAAUAAGGAGAGAAGAUACUUCUGUGUAGUUUGGGCUCAGGUGAAAGCUGCUGACAACUGCCGUGCUAGUCUCUACUUCUAUGAGUUCAGCUGUUUAAGAUUACACAUAUAAAUAAGAUUCAUCACUCAUGCUUCAACAGAUGGCAGGUGUUGGGCUGGGCUCCGUGGCUGUUGUGAUUGUUCUCGCAUUCUUCUCCUUCUUAGCAGUGUGAUAGGAGCUGCAUGAGGAAUUGAACUACUGUUGGGGCUCAUACUGUGGCAGUUUCUCUGGUGCCUAUAUAGAUGUCACAUGUCACUUCCAUAUAGUUGUAUGUAUGGACCUACAACUGUCUCCAUUCACUGUUUGGCCUCAUUCCUGUAUUCACGAUGGUGACUGACUCUACAGGAUCCCCAUGUGGAGAAAACUCAGGAACUGACAAUGUCUUCACUGCUACAGGACCAGCUAUAUCUAUGAACUUUAGACCCUUGAUGCACUGUGUAAUAUUAACCACAAGUUGAAGGUCACAUGGGCUGGACCUAUAUCUUGCACUGAAUGAUGCCUGAGAGUCCCUGUUGAUGCUGAAAGCAAGUCUCUGCAUUUUCCUCUAUAGCACCUCUGUUAACCAACUCAGAAUCCAUUCUUUUAAAAGAUGUAGUGAGAUGGCCUUCACUUUGGGUUAGAAUUUGACUUGAUGAAGGAGACUGUUGAAACACUUGUUAUAUAGACAAGUAUAUAAAAUACUUUAGGAGAGUGGUUCGGGAGGUGGUGCAGUGGAUGAAGCAUUGGACUCUCAAGCAUGAGGUCCUGGGUUCAGUCCUUGGCAGCACAUGUACCAGAAUGAUACCAGGUUUUUUCUCUCUUUCCUCCUUUCUUAUUAAUAAAUAAAAAAAAAAUACUUUGGAAGAGAGACCAGACAGUAGUGCACCUUGUAAAAGUGCACACAUCGCCAUGCCUGAGGACCUGGGUUCAAAUUUGCAGUGUCACAAACAUUGGAGCAGUGCUACAGGUGUCUCAUUAGCUCACCGUUCUUUCUUCCUCUCUUCUUCUCUCUGUCUUUAUCUAAUAGAAUAAAAAAAUAAAAGCAAAAAAAAAAAAAAAAAAAGGCCACUGGAAAUGGCAAACUCAUUGUGCAGGCACUGAGUCCCAGAAAUGACCCUGGUGGCAAAGAAGUAAGAAUGAAAAGAAUGAAAAGAAAGAAAGAAAGAAAGAAAGAAAGAAAGAAAGAAAGAAAGAGAGAGAGAAAGAAGGAAAGAAAGAAAGAAAGAAAGAGGAGAGAAAGGAAGGAAGAAAUAAAGUGCUUCAGAACUAGAUCUUCUACAACUAAUUGACAUACCAACUGGAAUGCUUAUUAGCCUGUCCACUCUAAUAAGUUCACUGUAAUGCUUAUUAGCCAGUAUUGCUUUGAUAAAGUGUCUUGUGUCUUAAUAUGUUUUCAGAAACCUUAAGUCUUUAUGCCAAUAUUUAUUUUGUAAUUUAAACUGCUUUCUUCUGCUACAUGAAUAUUUAUAGGAGACUUGGUUAAUUUUUUAAUUACUAUUGCUAAUAGGGGCUCCCCACCUGCAUGACUCCUGGAAAACCUUUCUUUCAGUUUGAUAUAGACAGAAAGGAACAGACCAGGAGAGAGCGAGAGAGAGAGAGAGGAGAGACAUCACAGCACUACUUCACUGUUUGUGGAGCUCCUUCUUGGUGCUAUGUGUGGUGCUAGGGGCUUAAACCUGGAUCCUUGAACAUGGUUAAAUGUGUACUCUACCUGGUAAGUUAUCUAUUGGUCCUGAUUAUUUUCUUUUUACUUUUUGCCAUCAAGAUUAUUGCUGGCACUUGGUACCUACACAGCUCGAUGUUUCCCAGCAGCUAUUUUUUUUGCUUUUGCUUUUGCUUUUGCUUGAGGGUGAGAAACAGAGAAGGAGAGGGAAGCAGAGAAAAAGAGAGACAGACACCUGAAGCACUACUUCACUGCUCAUGAGGCAUCCUCCCUGCAGGUGGGGACCAGGGCCUUGAAACUGGGUCCUACCAUAUUGUAACAGUGAUUGGUUAAUUUUAUUUUAUUACUGAGUGUGUCCUAAAAGUGCUCUGUGCUUCCCAUUAGGUUGGGUGGUAAUGUAGUAACAGUGGUUUGGAACAGUAUCAAGCCCAUGACCAGAGUUCAUGUGUGUUUACAGGAGAGUUAGGAACAAUGUGAAUGAUGUGGGAUUCCCUUUUAUCUACAACAUCAGUAACUAUGACUGACUGUAACAUGUACAUGUUAAGCAUUCCUAGGCCUAUGCCUGUAUGCUGGAUUUAUUGAUGGAGUGUAUUAUAUUUAAUUUUUUAAAACCUUGAAUCAGUGUUCUUUAACUUUCCUUCUUGACAACAACUUCAAAGUAAGAAUCCACUGAAGAAGAAAGAUUGUGACUUCUCUAAAUUAGUGUUAUCCUCCUACCUCUUUUCGAUCUCUUUCUAGUCCUGGAUAAUAAGAGUAUGAGGGUGGAAGAGGGGUGGGUGCACUGAACAGCCUCAGUGAGCAUCAUAAAUUAAUACAUCUCUUGAAUUGUGUGAAGUUGCCAUCCUAAAAAAGUCUAUAUGGCAUACCUGAGUAUUCUCCACUAGCUUGCAGGGCGUUGGUGAGUAUAGAUUAGAACAGCUGGACAUUGUGGGUAGAUAAGGAGACAAAAAUAGCAAUAGAAACAGGUGAAAACCCUCCAUGAACCUGCUUCACCCUGAGGGAUCUUACCAACAGUGUAUCCACUCAACUGGAAGAAUCAGAAAUUGGGCAAUAUAUUCUAACAAUUGGGUACUGAGUGUUUUAGGCAGCUUAGAGCCAUUAUAAUUCCCUCUAAACUACCACCUCAGGAAAGGCCACAAUAUAGGAUCAACAUCUAGAACAGUUCUUUCUCUCAGGUGAGCUAUAGAGUUCUCAAUAGGUUACUACAUAUAGAUUUCUACUUUUAAUUUUCAUGAACAAUUCACAUUGAUCCUUUUUCAAGUUCUUUUACUGUAGUUGAAACAUAGGUUAGGAUAUCCAGUGAGUAAGGAUUUUCCACUGUCUGAAAAGAGAAUCUAAGCCUCCAUCCUUAGUUAUUACUGGUUGGUAAAUACCACUGGUGUUUAUCCAUUACACUUCUGAUUUACAGCUCUAAAAUUAACUGUAGGUAGAAGUUACAGUUGUGGGAGCUGGGCCGUAGCACAGUGGGUCAAGUGCACUUGCUGUGAAGCGCAAGGACCAGAUUAAGGAUCCAGGUUCUAUCCCCCGGCUCCCCACCUGCAGAGGUUGCCUUGCAAGCAGUGAAGCAGGUCUGGAGGUAUCUUAUCUUUCCUCUUCUGUCUCCCCUCCUCUCUCUACUUCUCUCUGUCCUAUCCAACAACAACAAUAGCUAUAACAACAAUAACAACCACAACAAGGGCAACAAAAUGGGAAAAAAAAAAAGCCUCCAGGAGCAGUGGAUUCAUAGUGGUGGCACCAAGACCCAGUGAUAACCUUGGAAGGAAAAAAAAAGAGAGAAGUUACCAUUGUCCACUUGAAAACUGUCAUCAAAAAGGUGAAAUUCUAACUGCUGAAUAUAACAAAUCUCUGUUGAAAAUAACUGAGUAAAUACUGAGUAAAAUAUACUUCAGGGAACAGUGUAGGAAUGUAAAACCAGUUCAUGAGACAGUACUAAAAUAGCAAAAACAUGGACUUUUGUCACUUCCUCUAGUUGUUCCAGAUUAUAGCAGAGUUGCUCAUUUGCAAAGAGGACAUACCAUUUUUCUGCUGUUUUCCUUAGUUUUCUCAUUAGUAUGAAGGCAGCAUUAAAUUCUUGAAAUUCUUCUAAGUACCUCUACUACAAUACUAAUUUUUUUCUCCCUACAUGAACUCCAGGUUAAGGGAGGAGGGCAUCUCAGGAGAGUGAAAAUUAGUCUGACUAGAGAGGGCAUGGUCUUAUCCAAGUACUGAUCAAGUAGUGUUAUGAAAAUUCAUAAUGUAUAUUGAUACCAUCCCCACCAACAAAGGUCUGUGUCCCUCCCUUUUUAUGCCCCCAGUGAAGCUGAACAUUUACCCUCACCCUCCACCCAGAGUUUUUACUUUGGUGCUAUACUCCAAACUCAAUCAGAUUCUGCUUUGAGUUUCCCUUUCUCUUCUUCUUUCUCAACUUCUGUUUAUGAGUGGGAUCAUCCCAUACUUGUCUUUGUCUUUCUGACAACUCAAAAUGGGGGGAUACAACUCAAAAUGGGGAUAAAUGAUGCUUGUGUCAUAAUAUGCUUCUAUAAUUAAUCAGCAUGUCCUGGAUAAAUUUUGUCAUGUCAAUAAUGACUUCACUAAAUUUUGUAUCACCAUUUAACCAAUAUUCUGCUAUGUAUUGUACAUUUGGAGUAUCCAGAUAUUAAUAAGGCUUAUAGAAGU